rnacentral:rRNA from 1 species
AAGUAAGCAAGAGCGUAUGAAGGAUGCCUAGGCUCUUAGAGGCGAAGAAGGACGUAAUAAGCUGCGAUAAGCUGCGGGGAUUGGCUAAUACGAAUCAAUCCGCAGAUCUCCGAAUGGGGCAACCCACUCUGAUGAAGUCAGAGUAUUUUUACUUUUUUACAGAGUAAAGAAGCAAACCUGGGGAACUGAAACAACUAAGUACCCAGAGGAAGAGAAAACAAUAGUGAUUCCGUGAGUAGUGGCGAGCGAAAGCGGAGGAUGGCUAAACCGUGCGCAUGUGAUACCCGGCGGGGGUUGUGUGUGCGGUGUUGUGGGGUUUGUGUUCUCUGGUCCGCCGAUCAGGGCGUCAGUAGUGGUGUGUUAGCCGAAGUGGCCUGGGAUGGUCUGCCGUAGACGGUGAGAGCCCGGUAGGUGAAAACAUGUCAUCUGGUGUCACAGAUACCCGAGUAGCAGCGGGCCCGUGGAAUCUGCUGUGAAUCUGCCGAGACCACUCGGUAAGCCUGAAUACUUCCUGAUGACCGAUAGCGGAUUAGUACCGUGAGGGAAUGGUGAAAAGUACCCCGGGAGGGGAGUGAAAGAGUACCUGAAACCGUGUGCCUACAAGCCGUCAGAGCCUUCGACUUUGUUGUGGGGUGAUGGCGUGCCUUUUGAAGAAUGAGCCUGCGAGUUAGUGAUGCGUGGCGAGGUUAACCCGUGGUGGGGGAGUCGUAGCGAAAGCGAGUCCGAUAAGGGCGUGAGUCGCGUGUUCUAGACCCGAAGCGGGGUGAUCUACCCAUGGCCAGGUUGAAGCACGUGUAAGAGCGUGUGGAGGACCGAACCCACCUAGGUUGAAAACUGGGGGGAUGAGCUGUGGGUAGGGGUGAAAGGCCAAU